rnacentral:lncRNA from 1 species
GUUUUUUAUAGUGACCUUCAGUAAAGACAAAGAAGAGCCUAUUCAAUAGUAUAAUGCUGAAAGGAACCAAUGCUUUAACCACUCCCACCCCCAGUCUCAUUAUCUGGGAGAUGCACAGCAUUUGGGGCUUUCUUGCUGCUUUCAGAGAGUGAUUUCCCAUUUGUUUUCAUUGACCAGGUGCCCGGGAAGAACCCACCGUCCAGCAGGCACAGCGUCGGUCAGCUGUCUUUCUGUCCUUUAAGUCCCCAAUUCCAUGUCUGCCCUUGCGCUGGGAGCAGCAAAGCAAACUUCUUCCAACUGUCGCAGGAAUCCCUGCCAGUAAAGUUUCCAAAUGGAGCACAGACGAGGUGUCAGAAUUUAUACAGAGCUUACCUGGGUGUGAAGAACAUGGAAAGGUAUUUAAAGAUGAACAAAUUGAUGGAGAAGCAUUUCUACUUAUGACUCAAACAGACAUUGUUAAAAUUAUGAGCAUUAAACUGGGCCCUGCUCUCAAAAUUUUCAAUUCCAUCCUGAUGUUCAAAGCUGCAGAGAA